UACGUAGGGUGCGAGCGUUUGUCCGGAAUUAUUGGGCGUAAAGGGCUCGUAGGCGGUCUGUCGCGUCUGCUGUGAAAACUCAGGGCUUAACCCUGAGCUUGCAGUGGGUACGGGCAGACUAGAGUGCGGUAGGGGAGACUGGAAUUCCUGGUGUAGCGGUGAAAUGCGCAGAUAUCAGGAGGAACACCGGUGGCGAAGGCGGGUCUCUGGGCCGUAACUGACGCUGGAGGAGCGAAAGCAUGGGGAGCGAACAGG
rnacentral:rRNA from 1 species